rnacentral:rRNA from 1 species
UACGGAGGGUGCAAGCGUUAUCCGGAUUCACUGGGUUUAAAGGGUGCGUAGGUGGGCAGUUAAGUCAGUGGUGAAAAUCUCCGGGCUUAACCCGGAAACUGCCCAUUGAUACUAUCUGUCUUGAAUGUCGUGGAGGUAAGCGGAAUAUGUCAUGUAGCGGUGAAAAUGCUUAGAUAUGACAUAGAACACCAAUUUGCGAAGGCAGCUUACUACACGGAUAUUGACACUGAGGCACGAAAAGCGUGGGGGAUCAAAACAGGA